rnacentral:rRNA from 1 species
GACGAAAGUAGCGAGCGUUGUUCGGAAUCACUGGGCAUAAAGCGCACGUAGGCAACACCGUAAGUCGGGUGUGAAAUCCCUCGGCCUAACCGAGGAACUGCGCCCGAUACUACGGUGCUUGAAAGUCAAAAAAAUGCAUGGAAUUCCCGGUGGAGCGGUGAAAUGCGUUGAUAUCGGGAGGAACGCCGGCGGCGAAAGCGGUGCACUGGUUGACUUCUGACGCUGAUGUGCGAAAGCCAGAGGAGCAAACGGG